rnacentral:rRNA from 1 species
ACUCCUACGGGAGGCAGCAGUGGGGAAUAUUGCACAAUGGGCGCAAGCCUGAUGCAGCCAUGCCGCGUGUAUGAAGAAGGCCUUCGGGUUGUAAAGUACUUUCAGCAGUGAGGAAGGUGGGUAUGUUAAUAGCAUAUCAUUGAUUCGACUGAUGAGCUGCAGAAGAAGCACCGGCUAACUCCGUGCCAGCAGCCGCGGUAAUACGGAGGGUGCGAGCGUUAAUCGGAAUUACUGGGCGUAAAGCGCAUGCAGGUGGUUUGUUAAGUCAGAUGUGAAAGCCCGGGGCUCAACCUCGGAAUUGCAUUUGAAACUGGCAAACUAGAGUACUGUAGAGGGGGGUAGAAUUUCAGGUGUAGCGGUGAAAUGCGUAGAGAUCUGAAGGAAUACCGGUGGCGAAGGCGGCCCCCUGGACAGAUACUGACACUCAGAUGCGAAAGCGUGGGGAGCAAACAGGAUUAGAUACCCUGGUAGCUACGAGU